AGCGAACGCUGGCGGCAGGCCUAACACAUGCAAGUCGAACGCGUGUAGCAAUACACGAGUGGCAGACGGGUGAGUAACACGUGGGAACGUACCCUUCGGUUCGGAAUAACUCAGGGAAACUUGAGCUAAUACCGGAUACGCCCUUACGGGGAAAGAUUUAUCGCCGAUGGAUCGGCCCGCGUCUGAUUAGCUAGUUGGUGAGGUAACGGCUCACCAAGGCGACGAUCAGUAGCUGGUCUGAGAGGAUGAUCAGCCACACUGGGACUGAGACACGGCCCAGACUCCUACGGGAGGCAGCAGUGGGGAAUAUUGGACAAUGGGGGAAACCCUGAUCCAGCCAUGCCGCGUGAGUGAUGAAGGCCCUAGGGUUGUAAAGCUCUUUCGGCGGGGACGAUAAUGACGGUACCCGCAGAAGAAGCCCCGGCUAACUUCGUG
rnacentral:rRNA from 1 species